rnacentral:rRNA from 1 species
GACGAACGCUGGCGGCGUGCCUAAUACAUGCAAGUAGGACGCAGUUGCGAACGGGCGAGUAACGCGUAGGUAACUACCUAUUAGAGGGGGAUAACUAUUGGAAACGAUAGCUAAUACCGCAUACUAGUAGAUGGACCUGCGUUGUAUUAGCUAGUAGGUAGGGUACUGGCCUACCCAGGCAACGAUACAUAGCCGAGCUGAGAGGGUGAUCGGCCAAAAGUGGACUGGUACACGGCCCAGACUCCUACGGGAGGCAGCAGUGGGGAAUCUGCGGCAAUGGGGGGAACCCUGGCCGGGCAACGCCGCGUGGGUGAAGAAGGUUUUCGGAUCGUAAAGCUAUGUUGUUAAGGAAGCGGUACUUAACCAGAAAGGGACGGCUAACUACGUGCCAGCAGCCGCGGUAAUAC